rnacentral:misc_RNA from 1 species
AUUGCUCGUUAUGUUCCACAUUGUAGUUCGCCCUGUGUUAUGGCGGCACCGUGCUGGCUGUUUCGGAAUGCGCGCUAUGGUUUCGGACGUAUUAAAAGCACUCCUCCGCAGUUCAGGAUUACAGCGUCUGUUUUGAGGGCCAGCACAUCACCACCAAAGGAUUCUCCGAACAGUAUCGUCAAACCAUUAGCCAAAACAGGACUGUAUGUGUUUUCGAAGUUCAAGUUUUUUCUUGAAGGCUAUGACAAAAUCUUGCGGAAAUUCCCCGUCGCGUACCGGCUGCACCAAGUGUUCGUUGUCGGUACGAAGGACUUGUACCAGGAUGUUCGAACCUACAUGAAGAUAUCUCAGGACUUAAGGAGUGGGAAGUCUGUGAGAGAACUUUCCAGGAGAGAGCUCGAACUCUAUUACCGGGUACCCCGUGACAUACUCAAGAUGGCACCUAUAUUGACAAUAAUAUCGCUGCCUGGAACUAACUUCAUCAUGUUCCCUCUUAUCUACCUUUUUCCAGGACACCUGCUCACCUGGCAGUUCUGGAGCCUAGAACAGCGUAUUGACUUCGCAGUUGCACAACAGAAAAAAAAGGUGCACAAUUACCGCUAUGUCUUUCGUCACCUGCAAACCAAUGUUCCCAAGGGAGAGGAAGGGAAACCACUUCUCAGCGUAUUUCACAAGGAAGUGGCACCCAUCCAACAGUGGCUGAAAUCCUUGAUAUCAAGCAGUACUUUUCUUCGAAGCCUCUGUCCUUGUCAAGCCUGGGCAGAAACCACUUGGUUGCACUUUGCAGGAUUCACGGAAAAAGUGCAUUUUUCCUUGGCCGGAAGCGCCGUCUCUGGAAACAUGGUGGGUUUGUCCGGGAGAUGGAUCUGGCUAUGGCACGAGAAGGGCUUGGUCAAAUGGAUCUGUCGGAGUUGCGAUGGGCAUGCUUCCUUCGAGGUUUCAACCCAAUGGGCUUGAGCAAACGAGACAUGGUGCAGUAUCUGCAAGACUGGAUAAACAUCUCAUCAAACAUAGAAGGUGACUGCAUCUCCUUGCUGCUACAUUGCCCCAUAUUGUUGGCUUACAAUGCACCAAGCAAUUGGAUUUUGAUCCACUAAUGGUGCAGCCACUGUUAAAGGGCUGCUAUGGUUUAGCCUAGUCAGAACAAAGGUAUAUCAAAAUAAAAAUGUUUUUUUUUUUUUCCUCUAGAGAUUAUUUAUGUACUAAUAAAUGAAUGCGUCUAUAA